GAACGCCGUAUGAGGGGAAACUCUCAUGUACGGUGUGAAUGGGGGGAAAAGCUGGAGAUGACUUCAAAGGCUUACCUAUCCAUAU
rfam:Bacillus coagulans 36D1, complete genome.